rnacentral:rRNA from 1 species
UACGUAGGGUGCGAGCGUUAAGCGGAAUUACUGGGCGUAAAGCGUGCGUAGGUGGUUCGUUGUGUCUGUGGUGAAAGCCCCGGGCUUAACCUGGGAAUGGCCAUGGAAACUGGCGAGCUGGAGUCUGGCAGAGGGGGGUGGAAUUCCGCGUGUAGCAGUGAAAUGCGUAGAGAUCGGGAGGAAUACCAGAGGCGAAGGCGGCGAACUGGACAGUUACUGACACUCAACUACGAAAGCGUGGGGAGCAAACAGG